UUGUAUUUUUUGUAGAGAUGGAAUUUUGCCAUGUUGCCUAAGCUGGCCUUGAACUCCCGACCUCAAGCAAUCCUCCCGCCUCAGCCUCCCAAAGUGCUGGGAUUACAGGUGUGAGCCACCACAUCUGGCCAUAAUUUCUUAUUAUGCUAAACUAUCAUAUACAACUACCAGAAUCCUUUUAGCCCUUGCCUAAAACCCUCUACUCAGAAGGCACACAGAAGACACACAGAUAAUCCAUUUUAAAGCGAGAAAACAAGAUAAUUCAAGAAAAUUUAGAAGAAAAUGGAUUUCUCAGGCAACUGAAAGAACAUAUUUGGAUCUGUUAAGAUGAAAGGAGACUUCAAGAGAACUGGACUUUGUGUUGGACAGGCUGUCUGUGACAGGGAAAAACCCCUUCUGAAUGAUUAGGGAUGAAUCAGUUAACUGGCUUGAGUUUCACAUUCUUCAUCUGUAAAAUCUGCUGAUUAGACUGGUCCAGCAAAAGAUAUAAUGGGCAAAAGAUAUAAUACACAUAAAUUGGAAUGAAUCUGCAUUUUCCAAGCCUGAUGACUUUAUUAAAACUGAAUUAAGUCACUAACUAGCAGCCUGAAGAUGAAAGGAAAGAACUCAGUCAUGCUUCUUAAGGUAAAAGGGCAGUCUAACUGAGAAUUUUGUUAUCUCUGAGGACAAAUUACAAGGAGAUAAAGACACUCAAGAUCACAAGGAAGGCUUCUGCUCCCACUUAGAGACUGCAAUGUAAGGUAUGGAAACAGAAUAUUCUCUAUAGAAACAUACAUGUUAAAAUAUGAACAUUUUUGUUCUUAUUUCAAUCCAAAAAUAAAUAAAUGAAUUAAA
rnacentral:lncRNA from 1 species